UUUUAUGUUAAUAGUUGGUAAUAUUUUAGCAAAGUACUCAUCUAAGAUUGAUGUUUUUCCUUUUUCUGGUGAAGAUAUUGUAAAAGUGUAGCAUAAAGUCGUGAUGUCGGACUCAAGGCUGCAGUAUCGACUCAGCGUAGAAAAGAAGAAGAAAAAGAAAAAAAAAACUUAAUAAUAAAACUUGCGGUUGUAUUUGGAGUUGUUAACUUUGGCGUAAAAUGAAGAUUACAGGGAAAAUACAGUGACAUGUAAUUGUUACAUUAUAGCUUACCACAUUAUCAAUAUCAAGCUAAGCAGAAAGACCAUAAGCAAUAAAAGAGAUCAUGGGCAAUAAGGUUGGAUCCCAAGAGACUUUGAUAAGACAGUGGUAGAAUAAAGAGGAUGUGCAUCUCUACAUGGAUAUCACGUGGACAAAUACAUAAUCAAAAUCCAACAAGAUCAUUACUACCUUAAUGCCAAUAGAUCACAUGGAUAAAUUAGUAAAUCCUAUGAGAGGAGGAAAGGAAUCUGUUACAACAUCACUCAUACCAGGACCUUAGGUACAGGGAAAAUGCCAUUGAUUCAGAACCAUGGACCCUGGUAUAUCUUGGCGCAGAUGACACUAUUGCGCCACAUAACUCUACAAAACAUCAAACAAAAUGAAGAGUUUCUUCAUACAUAAAGUUGCCAUGCUAAUAAAUUUAAUUGUAAUUGAGUAUGACUACAAGCUUAAACUUGAAGAUGGCUGAAUUGGAAAUCAAUUUGUCCCAUGGGUUUUUCAUUCACAUCUGUCACAAUUGAGUACUCAGCCCUCGCACCUCAAGAUUGAAAAUCAAACGGUUUUGUCUGCCAGACUAUUUGAUUUUGCCAAAUUUGCUUCUCUCCAGAUUGCUUUGACUUCAUCUGU
rnacentral:lncRNA from 1 species